rnacentral:rRNA from 1 species
CAGAGACUGCAAGCGUUAUUCGGAUUCACUGGGCGUAUAGGGUGCGCGGGCGGCCAAGUGUGUUAGGCGUGAAAGCCUGGGGCUUAACCUCAGAAUUGCACCUAAAACUACAUGGCUAGAGCAUUGGAGAGGGUAGCGGAAUUCACGGUGUAGCAGUGAAAUGCGUAGAUAUCGUGAGGAACACCAGAGGCGAAGGCGGCUACCUGGACAAUUGCUGACGCUCAGGCACGAAAGCGUGGGGAGCAAAAGGGAUUAGAUACCCCUGUAGUCCACGCCCUAAACGGUGCACACUAGGUCUUGGCGGAUUCGACCCCACCAGGGCCCAAGCUAACGCGUUAAGUGUGCCGCCUGAGGACUACGGUCGCAAGACUA